ACUAUGCUUGGCCCUAAACCUCAGUAAUUAGAUAACAAAACUACUCGCCAGAAUACUACAAGCAACAGCUUGAAACUCAAAGGACUUGACGGUGCUUUACAUCCCCCUAGAGGAGCCUGUUCCAUAAUCGAUAAACCCCGAUCCACCCUACCCUCUCUUGCUCAGCCUAUAUACCGCCAUCUUCAGCAAACCCUAAUGAAGGCCACAAAGUGAGCGCAAACGCCGCCACCGCGAAUACGUUAGGUCAAGGUGUAGCCCAUGAGACGGUAAAAAAUGGGCUACAUUUUCUGUUUCAGAAAACCCACGAAAACCCUUAUGAAACUUAAGGGUCCAAGGAGGAUUUAGCAGUAAAUUAAGAAUAGAGUGCUUAAUUGAACCAGGCCAUAAAGCGCGCACACACCGCCCGUCACUCCUCUCAAAUAUAUUUAAGGAAUACCCUAACUAAACGCCCUAAUAUUUAUAUAGAGAGGAUAAGUCGUAACAUGGUAAGCGUACUGGAAGGUGCGCUUGGAUAAAU
rnacentral:rRNA from 1 species